rnacentral:lncRNA from 1 species
AUUCUUCUCAGGCCUUAAAGGCUGUCAUUUAAAUAUACUAUAGCUUGAUUUCACUUUUUUUUUUUUAAGAUUUUAUUUAUUCAUUUGACAGAGAGAGAUCACAAGUAGGCAGAAAGGCAGGCAGAGACAGGGGAGGGGGAAGCAGGCUCCCUGCUGAGCAGAGAGCCCCAGGUGGGACUCCAUCCCAGGACCCUGAGAUCAUGACCUGAGCUGAAGGCAGAAGCUUUAAUCCACUGGGCCACCCAGGCGCCCCUUGAUUUCACUUUUAUAAAUGGAGGCAUAUAGUAAAUGCACUCGGAUGCUGGUAAGCACUGCAGAACUAGAGGAAAUCCUCAAAGACAGGCAUUAUUAUUAAACAGCUGGUGGAGUACUAUAAAUCUACACAAUGGGCUUCGAUCUGCCAUCUGGUCAUUCCUAAGCACAGGUGUGCGUAAGGCUUUCCCUCAUCAGGCUGACGAUGGCUCGCUUCACACAUACCACUCAAGACUUCUGUGCAGUAUAAAAUAG